rnacentral:rRNA from 1 species
CAGUCGCCGCGGGAAUACGUAGGUGGCAAGCGUUGUCCGGAAUUAUUGGGCGUAAAGGGCUCGCAGGCGGUUUCUUAAGUCUGAUGUGAAAGCCCCCGGCUCAACCGGGGAGGGUCAUUGGAAACUGGGAAACUUGAGUGCAGAAGAGGAGAGUGGAAUUCCACGUGUAGCGGUGAAAUGCGUAGAGAUGUGGAGGAACACCAGUGGCGAAGGCGAUUCUCUGGUCUGUAACUGACGCUGAGGAGCGAAAGCGUGGGGAGCGAACAGGAUUAGAUACCCCGGUAGUCCCUGUCUCUUAUAC